AACCUCAGCAUUUGUGCUUUUCACUAAGCUUUUUCAUCAUGGAUAUCCUUGGGCUCAAUAUUAGAUAACAUUUUGAAUAUUCUUUGUCCUCUUGGCUUUUGAUUAAGAUGAUGAAUAGAUCUUAUUCAAGAAAUGGAGUGCCAUACAAAUUUGUAAACCAUCUCUGAGUAGUAAAUAUGAAGAGCAGAACUAGUAGAGACUUAAAACAAGGCAACACGUUAGAAGAACCCUUGCUUUUUUUUUUUGAUUGUACUGACUUGUAUAUUUUAUGUAAUGUUUUCAAUAUAUAUAAUUAUAUAUAUUUUUUUACUUUUUUUUUUUCCCGAGGUCAAGGCAAAGUUUAUUCUAAGUAAAACAUCCUACACUUGAAGCACAAAUAUUUCAAAACUAUAAAACAACAGAUAUUGCCUUACAAUAACAAUUUGUCAUCCAAGCAACAAAUAUUCCUUGGUAAUCUGCUAUCAGAUGACAGUUAUCUCUUUGGCAUUUUUAUGAAUUAAAGCUUUCAAAGCCAAAUGUUUUGGUCAAGUUUCAGAUUUGUUUAGCAUAAUCCUGUACUACAUAUCAACAAAUGUUUGAUGGUUUGUCUGGUUCAUCUCUUAACACUAUGAAGAUGGCUACACUAAUCUUAACAAGCAAACAUUCUGUUGCCAACAGUACCAAUUUGUCAUCCUAUCCAAGCAACUACUAUUCCUUGGUAAUCUGCUAUCAGAUGAUUACAGUUUUCUCUUUGGCAUUUGUAUGAAUUAAAGCUUUCAAAGCCAAACCUUAGAUUUGGUUAGCAUAACCCUGAACUGCAUAUUAACAAAUGUCUAAUGGUCUGUCUGGUUCAUUUCUCAACACUAUGAAGAUGGCUACACAGGUAUCAGCUAUCAGCAGUGCACCCCUAUGAUACACAAGUCUUCAUUGCCAAGUCACUCUGCCAAACAGUGUGUACACCUUUCUUGCAUUGGUAGUGACCCACUUUACUGUCUUUCAAUGUCAUGAGUCUGGAUAUGUCAGGCCAAGGAGAUCAAGUUUGUGUCCAAGGUUACUUAGUUAAUUCUCUAAGAACAAUAGACAGACUCUACAUGCUACUGAUCUGGAGGUUAGUGGCUCAAUCAUUGUGCACUGAUUCUUCACUGAUGCCUUGAUUCUCCACUGUCAACUUUAUUGUCAUAAAGUUUAUCUAGUGAUCUACAUAUCAAGACUAAAUGGUCAAUUAAACAUGAGGUCAAGGAAAAAGGAUGAACAUUUCAAGGCUACAGAAGGAACAUUAAACGUCUCUCUCACUGUGAAAAGAUUCUACCGAUCUACAAAUGAUCAUGUUUUAUCUUAAGUUCAUCUGCCAUUUCUUCAAAUGGAGCCAUAGUCAGAAUAAGUUUCAUUAACAAUAUACUUGAAAUGUUUAAUCUCACUUCUUUUUACUGAAGUCAUUUCAGUUGUAAAUUAUUUUGUGCAACAAGUUACCGGAAAAAAGUCAAGCAAGAGAGGUCACUACUCUAAGACUGUCUUCUCAUAAGAAUGGAUUGUUUUCUCAUAAGAAUGGAUGGCUGCCUGGUCAUGUGGUAUGUGCACUGGACUGUUGUGGGGUCAUCUUGAUGCUCAUAUCUUUCCUGAUGCCAUUUAUUCUGCUGGACGUUUGGUCAAGGAAAUAGAUUCUCUUCAGCUCUCAAGGAACAUUCAAAACAUGUCAAACAUUUGACAAGAAUAUCAAGCAAGUGCAGUGUACAUACCAACAUGAUGAAAAGGUAGACAACAUGAAGAUGUAGACCAGCAUGAUGAUGUAGACCAGCAUGAUGAAAAGGUAGACAACAUGAAGAUGUAGACCAACAUGAAGAUGUAGACCAACAUGAUGAUGUAGACCAGCAUGAUGAAGAUAGACCGACAUGAAGAUGAAAUGUAAACCAAAAUAUUGAUCAACAAUAGGGAAUGUGAACAUCCUGAGAAGUAAAACAAUUCCUAGAGGCCAAGACACAGUCACAGUAGAUACAUUAGAGAUUGUUUCCUUUUCUACCAUCAUUUAGAGCCUUCCUUGUGCUCUAAGGGAACCUGCCAUUAUGUUUUGAUUGCUAAUUGAAGUUGAUUUUACAUACCUAGUGCAUCUGAAAGAAAUGAACAUUUCCCUAAUGCUACUUCAAAACCAGGCCUUCUCAAGACAAUCUUAGUGACCAAGCUGCAGUAGGAAACAAGAAUCCUCCCAACCUCAGGCUGAGUACCCAUGCUCACCUACUAGAGUGGCGACACAUACUUCUCCUAGUUAUACAUCCUGAACCCUGUAACCCAACCUCACAACACGGUUACAUUACUAGAAAUGGUCCUGAAGUUAGGAAAACUAACAGAUACAAUAAAUAGAACAAUCAUUUCUAAUACAGGUACAACUAGUCAAGUGAUGUACUUUGUAAGAACUAAUCAGUUGGAAUUACCAUAAUUGACUUGUAUCUUGUUCUGUAUUUAGGUAUAUCUUGACAAUCAGUCCAGUCAUUUGUUCAUUUUUUUUUUAAUAUUCCUUUUUUUCCCCCUCAAUCUUCUUGUUUCAGUUCAAUGUUAUUAUAUUUUUUGUUUUUGGAGGAGGGAAGUUCUAUGGUAUAGUAUCAUUAUUAUUAUUGUAUUAAGCAAACUUGUAUAUGUAUGUUUAUUCAUGAAUACUAAUGAAGAACAUCACUUCUGGGUCAUCUACCGAAAAUGUUGUAAACACUAUACAUGUCUUCAGUUAACUUUAGAUAUUCUAUAGUCAUAACACCAAAGCCUUGCUACAUAUUGCUUAAUUCAAUUUAUUAUCUCCCCUGCUUUUGUGUGCUAUCAUAUUAAAUGUUCAUUAGUGUCACAUCCCUGCACAAUUUGUUCUAUGCUCUUUAUAGUGUAAAUAGUGACUUGACAUUAUUUAGCUCUACUAAAAUAUUGUUAUAUUAUUAUAUUUAAGAUAAAACUGUUAACAUUUACUAUGCUGUUAUUAAUAUAAAAGCUUUGCAGUUUUGAGGUUUAGUCUAAGGACAUCACAGAUGAGAAAUGUAGUUACACUCCCCUUAACAGUUCAAACUAAAAUGUUCCAUAAACAAAGAGUGUAUUGACAGACUUCACUAAAGCAUUGAGCUCAUCCCCUUAGUCUAUUUAAAACUUUCAAAUACUAAUUCACUUUGUCUUAUCUAAUGGUGAUGUCAGUUUUAAUUAUUGUGUACCUGGGACUGCCUGUAAGUUUCAGAAUUAUUUUUCUUUUUUUAAUUUUACUAUAUGUAAAUCUAUUAUUUAAUUUUUUAGCAAUAUAUGUUACAUUAUUUUUCUAAUUGGAACAACUGUCAAAAUAAUUGACUGUCAAAAUAAUUGACAUGUUUUUAAAAAUAUGGCCAAGCCACGCCCAGUGCUGUCUUAAUGGCCACUUCCAAUGUUUAUGUACUAGAUUUUGUCCUUAUGAUUUUUUUUUAGCUGCAGUGUUUUGUAAUUGCUGCUUUAGUCAUUGAAAUUAAAGUCUCAUUUUUUUAAAAUUU